AUUUAUAUAGUAUAAAAAAAUUAUUAUUGACUUCCAAUCAAAAGAUUUAAAAUCAUUUUAAUAUAAAUA
rnacentral:tRNA from 1 species